GUUGUAGAGCAAUGGGUAGCGCGUUGGACUUCUAAUCCAAGGGUUGUGGGGUCGAAUCCUACUUGGAAUG